rnacentral:rRNA from 1 species
CCUACGGGUGGCAGCAGUGAGGAAUAUUUUUCAAUUUUCUCGCUCCUGCCCCCGCCCCGUCGCGUGAAGGAUGACGGCCCUACGGGUUGUAAACUUCUUUUGUCAGGGAGCAAUUGAGUCCACGUGUGGGCUUAGCGAGAGUACCUGAAGAAAAAGCAUCGGCUAACUCCGUGCCAGCAGCCGCGGUAAUACGGAGGAUGCGAGCGUUAUCCGGAUUUAUUGGGUUUAAAGGGUGCGUAGGCGGAAGGUUAAGUCAGCGGUCAAAUGUCGGUGCUCAACACCGGCCUGCCGUUGAAACUGGUCUUCUUGAGUGAGCGAGAAGUAUGCGGAAUGCGUGGUGUAGCGGUGAAAUGCAUAGAUAUCACGCAGAACUCCGAUUGCGAAGGCAGCAUACCGGCGCUCAACUGACGCUGAGGCACGAAAGCGUGGGGAUCGAACAGGAUUAGAUACCCGGGUAGUC